GUAGUUUUCUGGUGGUGUUUCCGGAAAUGGCGGUGUGAAUGGACAUUAAAUCAAGAUUUGUUUUGACCGACCUUCACAGGAAAGAUGAAAACUAUCAAACGAAUAGCUCGUGGAAUAUGUGACUUUGUAAAUGUAAUUGAGUACAUGAAACAUGGAAAAUACCCAACAGACGCUACUGACGGCGAAAAACGAAGCCUUCGGAAACGCUCCAAGAGCUUCAGGCUGGAUGGCGAAAAUCUUUAUUAUUUGAUGAAUACGUCAGAAAGUAGUGAUGACGUUUCAAAGAGACAUGAUCGUCUGGUUGUUCUUACGGAUGAACAACGUCUGGAGAUUAUUGCAGAAGCACAUGUAGAUCCAAGAGGUGUUCAUCUGGGUCGAGAAAAGGCCACAGCAAUUAUCAACAAGAAGUACUACUGGGUGGGCGUGUCCAACAUGGUAAGGGAGUAUUCACGAGCAUGUCAGGUUUGCCGAGCCAACAGGGCAGCCCAGAGCCAGGCCUACGAACUUUACCGUUCACAAAUAACCAGUACAGCCAAAGAAGAAGACGAAUUCCACGAUGUCGAAACAGCUUCAUCAUUAUCCUCUUCCUUGAUGUCCACUUCCUCUGACCUGGCUGAUGAUUCCAUCAAAAUGGAAUGGCAAAUAUCAUCAGACCCUAUGGCAUUUGGUGAAGUGGUGGAGCUGUCGGUUUUGGGUCCGUACAAGUGUCAGAAGAGUAGCCGAUAUGUGGUGGUUUUCCUGGAUGUGUUCUCUAGUUGGCCAGAAGCUUACCUUUUAGAUACUGUGACACCAGCAGAUAUUACACACCUCGUCAUGAAAUGGGUCUGUAGGUUUGGAGUGAUGCAGAACCUAAAUGUGAAGGACUGUGGACCAUCAUGCUCAACGACUCAGUGUCAACCCUUAACCAAAGUGUUGAAGGAUCAGGGUCUUUUUGAUGUGACUAUACAUCAGUGUUCCACUGUUUGGAAUUCAUCUGCACAAUGGAAUGAAGUAGAAAAAAAAGUUGUCAGUUUUAUUGAGAAUAAUGAGUGUUGGGAUAAGUGUUUAGAUUUUGCCCUUUUGCCUCUGCGUAUAUCUAGAGGAAAAGAUGCGCAGUACACACCAAGCUAUUUAACAUUUGGCAGGGAAUUCCGCCUGCCCCUAUACCUAUCACAUCGAGUGGAUGUCAGCUGCACAAGUGCCACACUGGACCCCCACCUGACAAUAGGCCAGAUGCAGUGCUCAACUGAUAGACUAGUCCAACUCUACACAGAAUAUACCAGUGAUAUGGGGAAAGAAGUCACGGAACAAAACGUUGAGGUGACGGACAAAACCGACUUUAAAGUACCCACAAAUUCUAAUCUGUCUGGAAAGAAACGUGGAAAAAGAAAGAGAGGCUUGCAACAAACCGACAAAGAGGUGGAAGAGAACAAUGAUAAUAGUGAUGUUGUUUACAGUACUGAGGGUUCAGAGGGUAAUACAGACGUUCCUUUGUCUACAGGGCUGCCCAAGGGGGCAAAAAAGCGUAAACCCAGACAUUCCCAGCAGCUCAAGGAUAGCAAACAUAUCAAAACAGAAUCAGCCAAGGAGGCAGAUAAUGAUGGAGAUUUUGAAAAAUAUGAUCAAGAAAUGUGCAAGAUAUCCUUAGAUGUGUUCUAUAGAAGCAUUUUGACCUACUUGGAAGAACAGACGUACCCUCGUGGGAGUAGUGAACACCUGAAGCGGUCCGUCAGAAAAGCCCACACUAGUUACUCUGUAGAAGAUGGAAAACUCAUGUACAACAUCGGAUCUACUGGCAAAAAGCAGGUGAUCACCACACUGAAGAGCAGGAUGGAACUCCUGAAGUCUGCACAUAUAGACUCAGAAGGUAAUCACAUGCCCGUACGACAUGUGACGAAGGAGUUAUCCCAAUACUACUGGAGAGGCAUGGUGGCAGAUUGUCAAGCAUUUGUAGCUGCUUGUCCUACUUGUGAUACGAAACGCUCUGAGAAAAAGAGGAAUUUACAGGAAGUAGUCUUAUUGGCUAGUAUCCGAAAAUUUGAGAAAAUUGCUGAAGUUGCAGAGAAACACUACUCCUUACUUAUACAGUAUCUACAUAAGUCAAAGUUCCCGCCAUCAACCACUGAUAAAGAUAAAACUGCAGUUGAGAAGAUAGCCUCCCAGUUUAAGCUUGUCAAAGGUGUCCUGUAUUUGAUGGACAAGUCGUCAUCCAUGUGUGUGGAAAUAGCCAGUCGAGCCCGCAAAAUGGCCAUCAAAUCUGCACACGCCAGUACAGGAAGUGCUGUUCCUAGCUUUGAAGAACUCUGUGGGGAGGUCAGUCAAAAGUAUAUAUGGCACAGCCUGACCACAGAUGUGCAUCAUUACCUGACCACACUGGAGACUACAGCUCAGGCAUGUACAACAGUCAGACCAACGAAUGUAGAAAAGAAGCGGUUGGAGUUCCUUGAAUUUUUUAAUGAUGAAAAAGCAUUUUUUGAGAAACAUGACAACCACUCUGUGACCAAAUCAAUCCAAGGCAAAGGCGAAGAGAAUAAUGAGGUGACUGCAGAGAUUGGGCUGGACAUGCAUGUGUCUGAAGAUGAAGAUGAAUGUGAAAGUGAAGAAAUCAGCAUGUCCAACAAUUCUGAACAGCGUACCACGGAUGAGACAGGGAGCGGUAAUAAAACAGGAAGUGAUUUGUGUCAAGGAACAGACACUGAGGUAGGACUGAGCAACUAUGUGAGUAAUACUCCUAACAAAGUCUACCUGGUGUCCACCACCAGGAAUCCUACAGAAACCGAGUCGGCAAUAACUGUACACAUAACAGAAGAAGCAGAUAAAGAAGGUAAAGACAAUAAAAGUGACAAAGAGGAAUCAUCUCUAUUAAGUGAAAAAGAAGGUGUUAUCAGAAGGAAAUCUCAACUCUCUGACCUUGGUGAAGGAGGAUUGGUGCAGCUAGCUAAUGCCCUGGCCCUGGUGUCUGAUCCUCUGACCGAGGCAGCUGUCCAGUCUAUUAUUGAUGGGUCAGACCCCACACAGAAGGGGAAGGUCACACUGCCCCAAAAUCCCUCAACUAGGGCAACGAAGCUAACAAACAAGAAAACUACUGUAGGUGUUAUCUCAACAAAAGUUCAAUCCCAAUUAUCAAGCAGCCAUUCCAACCCACAAGAUACAGAAGAGGCGGAGGGUGAGGAGACUGGGGAUGGCAAGAAGAAGAAGAGGACAUGUUUAUUCACCUGUGACAUAUGCAAUCAGAUCGUCCGUGGCAAUGUCAAGUUUAAAAUUCACUUGGCUAAACACAAUGGCCAGAAGCCAUUCCAGUGUGAAGUGUGCAACAAGCAGUUCACUAAUAUCAAGUCCAAGCGUCUACACAUGCGGAGACACACAGGAGUAACUCCUUAUCUGUGCAAUCUCUGUGGAAAGAAGUUCUCAUUGAUCGGAAGCCUUAAAGCGCACAUUAAAAUCCAUGAGAAAGGUGGUAAUGUGAAAACGAAUUGCAAGAUUUGUGACAGGACGUUUGCUAGCAAAAAUCGUUUUGAAAGACACAUGCAGUUCAAACAUCCCAACACUCCUCCAGUGUACAAGUGUGAUGCCUGUAGCAAGUUCUUUACCACCUCAAGAAGCUUGAGGCGACAUACAAUGUCCUUCCAUAUGAAUGUAAAGUACCAUCUCUGUGGAGUGUGUGGGAAAAGCUUCUUUAGGAAGGAGUAUCUGACAUCUCACUUGGCACAGCAUCAGGGACUAUCAGGCCUCCGAAAGAUCGCAAAGAAACGUGACUCCUCCAAGGCCGAACAUGGGGAGGAGGUGGUUCAUGUUGAACACAUGGGCCCCUCAGUUGUACAGCAGCAACAAGAACAACACAUAUCUGAGCCUGGAGCAAUAUUGGUGGAUGCCUCUGUCUUACAUGUUAGUCACUCCAACAUCCAAAAUGUCCCUCACGCAGAAAUUCAGGUCUUAGAACAAUCUGACGUACAAAACAUUGGUUCUUCAGUAGUGCAUCACAUUGGUCCAUCAGGCGUGACUCGGCCAUCCCAGGAAGCCUUGGAGACCUACCAGGCCACACAUAUUGUGGCAAGUGGGGAUGUAGCAUCAGACAACAUGGUACCUGUCGCACUGUACUCCAACUCACCAGUACAAUACGCAGACACAGGAGCUCAGGUGGAGAGCACUUACUACACAAUAGAGACCCCCAGCCAGGACGAUGAACAACAGGUUGCUCACACAGUGGUGUAUGGUUACCCUGCUGUACAGUAUGAGGUAGAAUGUAGCUCUGGGGCUGACCAGCUUAACAGUGAGGACCUUUCUGCCAUCAAUCUCCUCGCACAAGCCAGUGUAUGUCAGGGUAGUGAGUCUAUUACCUAUGUCACACACGGGUACCAAUAGUGUGUGUUUGGGCAGCAAGUCUAUUACCUGCAACACACAUGGGUACAGAUGUACCAGUUGUCUAUGUUUGGCUUGCAUAUCUAUUAUCUAGGUCACACAUGGGUACCAGUAGUCUAUGCUUGGCUUGCAUAUCUAUUAUCUAGGUCACACAUGGGUACCAGUAAUCUAUGCUUGGCUAGCAUAUCUAUUAUCUAGGUCACACAUGAGUACCAGUAGUCUAUGCUUGGCUAGCAUAUCUAUUAUCUAGGUCAUACUACGGUACCAGUAGUGUAUGCUUGGCUAGCAUAUUUAUUAUCUAGGUCACACAUGAGUACCAGUAGUCUAUGCUUGACCAGCAUAUCUAUUAUCUAGGUCACACAUGGGUACCAGUAAUCUAUGCUUGGCUUGCAUAUCUAUUAUCUAGGUCACACAUGAGUACCAGUAGUCUAUGCUUGGCUAGCAUAUCUAUUAUCUAGGUCACACAUGGGUACCAGUAGUCUAUGCUUGGCUUGCAUAUCUAUUAUCUAGGUCAUACUUCGGUACCAGUAGUUUGUGUUUUUGGCAAUGAGUCGAUUACAUGCUUCACUGGGCAGUGAAGUCACACACAGAUACCAGUAGUGCGCUUUAGGAGAUUGUGUCCACAUGACUGUAUGUCGCAUAUGGGUCUUUUUUAGGUCACCUGAGACAAAGUCUCAGGUGACCUAUUGUGAUCGCCUUUUGUCCAGCA
rnacentral:misc_RNA from 1 species